AAUUAAUGUAUUGCCUACAACGUUAAUGCACCAUAUCCCAUUAGAACUCCACAAUUAAGCGUUUUUGGGAUAGAGUAGUAUUGGUAUGGGUAAGAUCUUGGAAAGUCUUAGUGUUUUAAAUG
rnacentral:rRNA from 1 species